GGAGUUGGCCAAGACAGUCGCGGUGCACGUCUAUCAUUGAUAUAUAUGCACCGAGGAAAGUCCGGGCUCCACAGGACAGAGUGCCAGGUAAUGCCUGGGGGGCGUGAGCCUACGGAAAGUGCCACAGAAAAUAUACCGCUCGUUGAACCACGGUUUAAUUAGUAAGGGUGAAAUGGUGCGGUAAGAGCGCACCGCAUGGCUGGUAACAGGCAUGGCAGGGCAAACCCCGCUCGGAGCAAGACCAAAUAGGGGGACAUAAUGCGUGGUCCGCGCUGUUCCCGGGUAGGUUGCUUGAGGUAUGUGGCGACACAUAUCCUAGAUGAAUGACUGUCCCGGCUUUUUAAGCUACGACAGAACCCGGCUUAUCGGCCAACUCCUCUU
rnacentral:RNase_P_RNA from 1 species